UAGAGGGCGGCGCAGAGCCCGAGCAGUAGCGCCCCGCAGGCGGCGCCACUGCCCGCGAGGAAGGCGGGCUUCCGCAGCACCCUCGCUAGCCGCUCCGCCAGCCCCGCGCCCACCUCCAGCCCGGGCUCCAGUGCCCUCGGGUGGACUCACGCAGCUGCACCAGCACCGGGGCACUGGCCACGCCCACGCCUGCGCUCGUGGCCGCCGCGACCAGGGUUCGAUAGAGGAGACCGGGAACCAGUCCUCGGAGCAUUGCGGAGCGUGCCCAGCCUGCUGCAGACCGAUUGAGGACCACGACUUCGGCUGCCGCACUCUCCCGUUCUCCCGCCAUGUUGGAGGCCACGCACACAUACGUGCCUGCAUCGCUCUUGAGUGUAUGUGACAUCAUCAGCUUCCCUCCACGGAUCUGCAGAGUAAUAAUGGUAACUUUGGUCCGUUUCAGCUAUCACAGUGUAUAUAUAUAUAUGGUGUAUAUGUGUUUAUAUACAUAUGUAUAAAGUUUAUUUGAUCCUCACAGCAAGCCGAUAAAGACGGCCAAGGAAGCUGACCCACGUAUCACAUGGGAAGUUCCUGGGGCAUCAUGCCCCGCCCCCUUUUUUAUACCAAUUCCAUCUUCCUUAUCCCUCCCUGUAUAGUUGACUCUUAGUCUCUGGUGAGCUAAUGCCCUGAUCUCAAUCUCCAGCCUUGAAACCUCCAAGACCCUUAGACCCAGGCCUUCCUGGGCCUUUGAGCCUUGUCCCAGACCCCUACCCUAUGUCCCCUCUCCUGGUGGGGUCCCCGGUCAUAAUCCCGCCCUCACCGCGAUCCUUCCUUCCUCUUCCUUGAGUCUUGCACCGUCCUUCCUCCAGGACACCGAAGGCUCCGGGUGGC